CUGAGAUGCAGAAGCGGCUAAGGGAGUCUCGGGCCAAGAAGGCAGAGAAGGGUGCUGGGAAAAGCCCCAUAGAUGAUGAUGAGGGUCGGGUUGCUGACGUGCUGGGAAAGAGGAAAGCCUUGGAGGAAGCUCAUCAGCAUGUGAUGGGGUCGGGGCCGAGACUUCCACCUUUUGAUCUGCAGGCGCCGCCGAAACUCCCCUUCGGCAUGGAGGACAUAUUUGCUGAAGGGGUGGAGAAGGUGGACUUCGGCAGGCUACGCCAGCAGAAGAAGGAGGUGAACUUAGCCAUGCACCGGCAAGAGGUGCCCUUGAUUAACGUCUUCCUGGAAGGCGUGAAGAGUGAUCCCGAGGCUCUGGCGAGAACCCCAGCCUCUUCCUUCAUAGACCGGGCCCAAAAGACGAUCCUCACCUCUGCUUAUGUGAGUUUUGGCCGUCAUUUGUAUAAAAAAAAAAUUUGGAUUAUUCUUGUUUGGGUUGACUGAUGUUGUUUUGUUUUGCAGGCCUUUGGCGAAAUGUAUGUCAGCAUGGCCAAGGCAGAUAAAGAGAUCCAAAGGCUGAAGAGGCGUGAUGAGAUGGCCAAGAGCAAGAUGGCAGAGGCACAUGAGGCUAUCCGAGAGAAGAACGCCCUGUUGUUGCAAAAGGCGGCCCUGGCCAAGGAGGUGGAAGAGCUGAAGAGGUCGAAGGUCGAGGAGGUGGCUGCUGCCCGAGUCGAGGCGAUCGAGUCCUUCCGAACCUCAGA
rnacentral:lncRNA from 1 species